GCAGUAGUGGCUCAGUGGUUAAGGUUCUAGGCUACUAAUCAGGAGGUUCUGAGGUUGAAUCCCAGCACCACCA